UACGGAGGGUGCAAGCGUUAUCCGGAUUUAUUGGGUUUAAAGGGUGCGUAGGCGGGUUUGUAAGUCAGUGGUGAAAGCCUUCAGCUUAACUGGAGAAUUGCCAUUGAUACUGCAGACCUUGAAUUCGGUUGAAGUGGGCGGAAUGUGUGGUGUAGCGGUGAAAUGCAUAGAUAUCACACAGAACACCAAUUGCGAAGGCAGCUCACUAAGCCGAUAUUGACGCUGAGGCACGAAAGCGUGGGGAGCGAACAGGAUUAGAUACCCUGGUAGUCCACGCUGUAAACGAUGAUAACUCGCUGUUGGCGAUACACAGUCAGCGGCCUAGCGAAAGCGUUAAGUUAUCCACCUGGGGAGUACGAUCGCAAGGUUG
rnacentral:rRNA from 1 species